ACUCCUGCGGGAGGCAGCAGUGGGGAAUCUUGCGCAAUGGGCGAAAGCCUGACGCAGCCAUGCCGCGUGAAUGAUGAAGGUCUUAGGAUUGUAAAAUUCUUUCACCGGGGACGAUAAUGACGGUACCCGGAGAAGAAGCCCCGGCUAACUUCGUGCCAGCAGCCGCGGUAAUACGAAGGGGGCUAGCGUUGCUCGGAAUUACUGGGCGUAAAGGGAGCGUAGGCGGACAUUUAAGUCAGGGGUGAAAUCCCGGGGCUCAACCUCGGAAUUGCCUUUGAUACUGGGUGUCUUGAGUAUGAGAGAGGUGUGUGGAACUCCGAGUGUAGAGGUGAAAUUCGUAGAUAUUCGGAAGAACACCAGUGGCGAAGGCGACACACUGGCUCAUUACUGACGCUGAGGCUCGAAAGCGUGGGGAGCAAACAGGAUUAGAUACCCGAGUAGUCCCAUGAU
rnacentral:rRNA from 1 species